CCGAAAUAAAAACCUAAGCUAUUCUAAUUACCCUAACUAUGUUUUACCUGAUGCCUCGAGCUUUGACCACGAACCUCCUUUGCAUACAUGAUACUUCGAGGCAUUCUCCGAUGAGUAAGUACAAUGUGUCUCGGGACAUUCCCCAGUAAAAUGAAUAAAUUUUCAAUUUGUGCGAUAAAAUAGAAAACUAUUCACACAUACAUUCAAACAUUCAACAAUCCACAAUUCCUACUUUUGCCUAUCCAAUCUAUCAUUUGCCUACCGAUUUCGACCUAUCAUGAUACUAUCACGUUCAACAAAUCAACAUUUAUUCUGAAUUAAACAACCUUCAAUGAAUCAAAAUAAUCAAUAUUAAUCUUCAUCAAUUUUUUAAUUAUCGCCUUCCCCAAUUUUCUUCUUAAUCAAUGAUUAACUUAAUUCUUCAACUAUCAAUUUAAUUUUUCAAAAUUCGAAUCCAUCAUCAACCACAUACACAAAAUAAAGAUUCAAACAUGCUAAACACACAAGCCAUUCACACCCACAAUAACAAUUAAAAUUUGAGAUAAAAAUAAAGAACAGGAGAAGAAAUGAACCUCAAAUUUAAGCUUUUCAAGUGUAAUUGCUCUUUUCGAUUAGAACCGCAUCCAAAAUCUCGAACCGAACCUCAACAAAACAAACAAACCAACCUCGGUCUAACCCUUUUCUUUAUUUUUCGCUAAUCCAAAUCUAGGAAUCGUGAAGUAACGACAAAUCGUACCAAAUUUCGUAUGCAAUGUUACUUUUCAUUCAUUUUGGCGGAUUUCGCCGGAGCUGAGGUUGGUUGGGUCAAUUUUGACUGUUUUUUGAUGGGUUUUUGAGCUAUUGGCAUUUUCGGUGGAUUUUCGUCAUUUUCUGGCGAAGAAGAAAGUUGUUGGAACAAUAGCAUGACGGGGGCUACUUGUUUCUCUCCUUCGUUUCUCACUCAUUCUCUCCUCUCUCUCAUUUUCUCUCCUCUGUUUCAUUGUUUUCUCCUUAUUUAUGUGUUGUGAGUGUGGGUGGGUGUGAAUAACUGUGUGUGUAUGAAGUUGUGUGUAUGUGUUGUUCUUAAAUGGAAAAAUGGAGGGUGGCGUAGAGUAUGUCAGUGUGUAUCUGUUAGUGGUAAUGUUGUGUAUAUUGUUAGGGUC
rnacentral:lncRNA from 1 species